CGCGUAGGCUGUGCUGUAAGUCAGGCGUGAAAGGCCCGGGCUCAACCUGGGAACUGCGCAUGAUACUGCGGCGCUUGAAGGCGGGAGAGGAUGGCGGAAUUCCCAGUGUAGAGGUGAAAUUCGUAGAUAUUGGGAAGAACACCGGUGGCGAAGGCGGCCAUCUGGCCCGCAAUUGACGCUGAGGCGCGAAAGCGUGGGGAGCAAACAGGAUUAGAUACCCUGGUAGUCCACGCCGUAAACGAUGAGUGCUAGACGUCGGGGAGCUUGCUCUUCGGUGUCGCCGCUAACGCAUUAAGCACUCCGCCUGGGGAGUACGGUCGCAAGAUUAAA
rnacentral:rRNA from 1 species